CCUUCCCGGUAUUUCAUUAAUUUGACUUCAAGCUCCAUUCUGCUCCCAGAGAGGUCAGUCUUGGUUUUUGACUGCAUUUCUUGGUUCUCAUCGAUAAGUAGGUUGCAGGAAGCGGAGUUACACAGACAUGGAAGAGCUAAAUUACUAUCCAAGACGAGCCAGGCAGAGUGCAGAGGGACAGGCUGAUCAGAGGAACCCAACGCCAGGCCAUUGUAUAGAGAUGUGAAGAUGGCUUAAUGAGAACGAAUGGGUCCAGAUAACAACUCAGCUCCCAUGAGCACCCAUGAGCAGCCAAGGAAGAUGAGAUGAUCUGUGGGACCUAGUGUGUUGUGUGGCUGGGUUUUCACGCAGGUUUCCCUGUCUCCGAACUGCACCUUGAGAACAGGAUAGGGCUGUCGAGGGAGAGGAAACUGAGUCAGAAAAGAAAAAGUCAGAUGCCACAGCUCUGCUGUAUGCUUGCUGUGGGUCUUAGGGAAAUGAUUUGCCUGUACUCCAAUGGGAAGAAGAGGGCUGAACCGGCAGGGCUUGCUCAAGGCACAGCGACUGGGGUGGCUGCAUAGAAGACAUCAGUCCUUCCUAGCCAUCCUCGGUUGUCCAGAUCUAGUGUUUGUGCUAUUUAUGUCUCACCCCACAUCUCUGUGGCACUCCUGGGGAGCUGGAGGGACAAAAAUUUCUGCUUUACUAAGAAUUCUCCUAUUAUUUUUCUCUCUGGAGAAGCCUGUCCUCCUUUGAUCCGAGAUUGACAAUCAGGCUAUUCUGAGAAGGACUAAUUACAGAACACAUCCGGAACUCAUCCCAUUGUGUAGCCACGCCGCCAGGAAAUGCUUCUCCAGAUCUGACCCAAAUUUGUCCAGCUGUGGCUGAAACCAACUUUGUCCUGGGUGGUCCUCGGAGGGGACGGCUGCAGAAGGAACCCUUUGUGUCAAAUGACGCAACACCCCACCCAGACCACGAGAGAGAAGGAGGUCUACAGCAAGCUGCUGGCCUCAUGGAUUUCACAGCUGGAGGAGUGGCCAGACUUCUGUGGAGACAAGGCCCCAGGAGAGCCCGUUGAUCUGGCUCCAAUUCCAGUUUUCUUCUGCUAGCUCAGCCUUGCAGCCCCUUCUGAUCAGCUCAACGAAUAAGAGGAAAAUGCUUGUCAAAUAGAAGUUCCCGAGGAGUCAGAUCAUGUCUUUCAACCAUCUGAUAAGCCCGGAAGAAAUCCUCAGGCCUCGGGGCUACUGGCUGACUCACCUUAGGCUGGGAGUGUCUUCACAGCCCUGCACCAUUCACCUAAAUUUGGUUCUAGUCAUCUCCUCAUCCCUGUCACUCCAUCAAAAGUGUCAGGGCAGGACACAAGUGACAAGGCAGAGAAGCAGAAACCGCCCAGGCUUCAGAGGGGCUGCCUCACUCUGCUGUGCGGACAGGCAGCUGUUAACGUGGAGGAGCUAAAGCUCACCCAACUGGGAUGCGUGCUUCGGUGUUUCCUUCUCAAAAAAGCUUGCUUCUCGGAUUUUUCCUACAGGCAUCCAGGCACAUAGAAAGGGCUCAGUACCGGAAGCCACCCCUGACUGCUGUGUAAAUGGCGAACGCAGAGUUUCUUGCUUGUUCAUUGUAUAACAGCACAAGGCUUGCUCCCAAGGCUCUGGUGCCCAGCAAGUAUCAAACCAAUAGAUGAAUAUAAUGUAGAGGAAUCUCAAAGCCUAAGAGCAUUUUCCUGUGAGCAUGACUCUGCUUUCAUAUGAAAUCAUGAGAUCGUGGAGCCAUGGCUAAUUUUGGAUUGUCUAGAAGAACAGAACAGAUAGAAUGCAUACACAAAGAGAGAUAUACACAUACACACACAGACACAGAUACGCACAGACAUACAGACACACACACACACACACAGACACACACACACACACACACACACACACACACACAGACACAUACAGAUUUCCUGAAUGGCUUCUAAACACAGACAGACAGACAGGUAGACAGACAGACAGGCACGCACGCACGCACGCACGCACAGAUUUCCAGAAUGGCUUCUAACCCACAGGUCCAACUAUGGCUGUCUGAAUGCUAAAGAGGCUGAAACCAGCAGCUGCUCAGGCCUUGAAGCUGUUGCCUCAACAGUCUCAAUCUGGUUGUUAUCAGCCUUCAGGACACACUGGAAACCAAAGAAGCUGGAUUCUGAUGGCAGCAGUGGAGGCUGGCACACCAAGGAGAGAAACGUGAGGCAAGGAAGCCAGCUUGAGAUUUCCUCAGACCACCUCAUCUCUGGGCUGCCUGCCAGAAGAGGCUGCCCAUUCCGGGAGAGGGCCUUCUUCCCUCGGUUGACCUUGAGAUGCCCUUGCAGCACCCCCCAAAGGCAGGACCACAUAUCCAGGAAUCACAUUGGCUACAGAGAGCUGGCCCCUCCGAGGUCAGUUCACAAUCAAGAAAAUGCCCCCAUGACAUGCUCAGAGACUAGGCUGAUGGAGGCCAUUCCUCAAUUGAGGUUCCUUCAUCCCAGUAUGUGGCCCAAUCUACAAGCGAUGAAGAAGAAAGGUGUGAGCUCUAGUCUCAAUGAACUCACAGUCUAGUAGGGGACAAGAAAGCAACCACGCCAUCACGCUCCAUCCUCUGGGUAGAAGGCUGAUGUUGAGCGAGUCAGUCCAUCAAAUUGAGCCCUGGUUCAAGGAGAAGCAGUAAUCCAAAAAAAUACAGAAUUUCAAAUAAAGGAGGGUAAGAAGGAGCACUCGAAAUGGAGGGAGGGGUCUGUACAAAGAAUGUGAAACAAGAGAAGCAUUUGUGAGCCGGGCGGUGGUGGUAGCUCACGCCUUAAAUCCCAGCACUCGGGAGGCAGAGCCAGGCAGAUCUCUGUGGGUUCGAGGCCAGCCUGGUCUACAGAGAGAGAUCCAGGACAGCACUCAGGGCUUGUUUACUCUGAGAUGUGUCAUGUUCUGAUUUGUGUUUCAGGAAGACCAUCGUGAAGAUGUCCUUAGUCACUGAAGUCCUGGAAUAAGCUGGAGGCUGGGCUUUGCCUGUCUGUCCCAUUUGAAUCACUUAGGGAAUCUAGACUAAAUUCAGACUCCUGAGUACAACUACUUUAACCCUAAACCCUAGGGGUUUGCUUCUGCACAUGUCUUCUCAAGGAGAUUCAUGAAGGUGAACAAACUGUUCCAGGGUUGAUGGUGACACCCAACAGGUUAUGUCCAAAACCUAAAGCCCCAAACUUAAGGGUGUGACUUUUGGCUGAGAAAAGUCUUUCUCCUUGCAUAAUUUUUGGUUUUGGAUGCUGAGCAUUUGUCAUGUGGGCCUCAGCACAGUUGCAUGCAUCCUGAGAAGAUGACCAGAGAUGAGGAGACAGAAGAAGAGGCAGUGUGACAAGACCAUGAAAGAGAGAAAGGACGAAGUAUCCCUCCUAAGCCUAAAUUCCUGACAUUUGGCUUCCAGUGUUGUAAGAGAACAGGCAUCUCCUGUUUUAGAACGCCUUGUGUAUUAUCAUUUAAGGCAAUCCUGAGAGACUAACCAAUAGCAAAUAAGCUUGUUCUUGCUAUUGCUGGAGGCAACAGUGUGGGCAACCUUAAAUGCAAAUAGAUACAGUCCUCUCUGUCUGGAGUCUUCAUGCACUAGCUUUUUGGGCCAGUUGACUGCUGUACCUGAGAAGUGCAGGCCUCCAGGGUGUAAGGGUGUGAAACAUCAGCCUCCUUCCUAUAGCAAUUUUGGUGUUCUUGCAGGUUGGACAUGUCAGAGGGCUUAUCAUUGAGAUACUACCGGUCUUCUGACUAGGCACCAGGGACUCUGUAUCCAUUUCAUCAAGCUGGGAGGAGUUUCCUUAAUGAGUUUCUCAAGUCAGUGAACACAGAACCUCGGAGCAACACAGGCCAUCCUAGCUCUCCUUAAUAUGGAGCUAUGGCUGUGAUCUGGGGGAAGUAAACACACAGCCAACAGGCAGAAAAACUGGAGUCCAACCUGCUGCAACGUCAGGAGAACCUUUGAGGAGCCAUCAAGAUGGAACCAGGGAGCGCCAAACUGGUCAGGGUACAAAGUUCAAGCAAGACAUUGACUCUGCAGGAACGCCAGCCUCUGUGUUAGCACUGACCUCAUGGGCAAUGAAAACAUACAUGGUUUUCUAAUUGAUGCUGAUUGAGAAUUCACAUUUUCUCCUGGGGUUACUUGGGACUCCUCAAACUGUACAAUGCUCAUCUUCCUAGAAUUAUAAUGAGCAGCAGACCAUCAUUUAGAGAAGGAAGGUCUUACCCCUCAUCUGGAGAAGUCAUUUCAUCUAAGAAACUUCUAAAGCCUGUUUUUUUUUUAAGCUUGCUUGAAGCUAAAGCAUUUUUAAUGAGUAAAUCAAAUAUAUUUGAGUAUUUUUGAAAUCUAAAGCUUUUAUAUAUAGCUCCUAAAUGCAUGUAAUACUGUUCACUUAGGAACAGAGGGCCGCACUCCUGAAUGGCAUCAGUCCAUCGUCAUAGACAUUCAGUAGGCCUUUGGCGUGUGUGUGUGUGUGUGUGUGUGUGUGUGUGUGUGUGUGUGUGUGUGUGUGUGUCAAUCUUAGCAGUUCAUUCAUCAUGAUAUGUCACCAACUAAAGCAGUGGUUCUCAACCUUCCUAAUGCUGCCACACUGUAAUGCAGGUCAUGGUGUG